UACGGGGGGGGCAAGCGUUGUUCGGAAUUACUGGGCGUAAAGGGCUCGUAGGCGGCCAACUAAGUCAGACGUGAAAUCCCUCAGCUUAACCGGGGAACUGCGUCUGAUACUGGAUGGCUUGAGAUUGGGAGAGGGAUGCGGAAUUCCAGGUGUAGCGGUGAAAUGCGUAGAUAUCUGGAGGAACACCGGUGGCGAAGGCGGCAUCCUGGACCAACACUGACGCUGAGGAGCGAAAGCCAGGGGAGCAAACGGG
rnacentral:rRNA from 1 species